rnacentral:rRNA from 1 species
AAAUUGAAGAGUUUGAUCAUGGCUCAGAUUGAACGCUGGCGGCAGGCCUAACACAUGCAAGUCGAACGGUAACAGAAAGCAGCUUGCUGCUUUGCUGACGAGUGGCGGACGGGUGAGUAAUAUCUGGGAAACUGCCUGAUGGAGGGGGAUAACUACUGGAAACGGUAGCUAAUACCGCAUAACGUCGCAAGACCAAAGAGGGGGACCUUCGGGCCUCUUGCCAUCGGAUGUGCCCAGAUGGGAUUAGC